AAUUCAAUAGCAAAAAUAUAUUUAGAUGAACUACUAUGGAUAGCUUUUAAUAAUCCAGUUAGCGACAUUGAACAAUUUAAGAAAUAAAAAUUCAGUUUUCUAAAAAUUCUAUGACAAAAUAAGUGCCAGCAGUCGCGGUCAUACUUAUAUAGUUUAUUUUUAUUAGAAAGAAUUUUUAAAAAAUUAAUAUUUAUUAGUAAAAUAUAAAUAUUAAAUUUUCCAAAAUAAAUUUUCUAAAUCUUAAUUAUAAAACUAGGAUUAGAUACCCUAUUAUUAAAAGACCAAAAUUCUUUUUCUAAGCACUAAAACUUAAAAAGUUAAAACUUAACAGUUUUGGCGGUAAAUCAAAAUUUCAGGGGAACUUACCAGAUAAUUGAUAACCCACAUGUUUCUCAACCUUCAUUUAUAGUAUAUAUAUUACCGUUUAAAUUUUACUUUAAGUAAAAUUGAAAUAUUUCUAUAAAAAAACAGGUCAUAAUGUAGCUAAUAUGGGGGACGUAAGGUGAGUUACAAUAAAAAAUUUUUUCGGAAUAAAAGUUUAAACCGCUUUUUAGAAGGUGGACUUGAAAGUAAUUAUAAUUAAUUAAUAAAUUAUGAAUAUUUUUUGAUUUGUGCACAAAUCGCCCGUCAUUCUCAUUAUUUUUUAAAUGAGACAAGUCGUAACACAGUAGAGGUAAUGGAAAUUGUCUCU
rnacentral:rRNA from 1 species